CCUACGGGUGGCUGCAGUGAGGAAUAUUGGUCAAUGGACGAGAGUCUGAACCAGCCAAGUAGCGUGAAGGAUGACUGCCCUAUGGGUUGUAAACUUCUUUUAUAUGGGAAUAAAAUGUUCCACGUGUGGGAUUUUGUAUGUACCAUAUGAAUAAGGAUCGGCUAACUCCGUGCCAGCAGCCGCGGUAAUACGGAGGUUCCGAGCGUUCUCCGGAUUUAUUGGGUUUAAAGGGAGCGUAGGUGGAGUGUUAAGUCAGUUGUGAAAGUUUGCGGCUCAACCGUAAAAUUGCAGUUGAAACUGGCAGUCUUGAGUACAGUAGAGGUGAGCGGAAUUCGUGGUGUAGCGGUGAAAUGCUUAGAUAUCACGAAGAACUCCGAUUGCGAAGGCAGUUCACUGGACUGCAACUGACACUGAGGCUCGAAAGUGUGGGUAUCAAACAGGAUUAGAUACCCGUGUAGUC
rnacentral:rRNA from 1 species